UGUUUGUUGACUGACUACAUUGCUUUAGUCAUUGUAUAUGUUGUUUCCCUGGUUCUGCUCAUUUUACUCUAUAUUAGAUCAUUUAAAUUUUUCCAUAAUUCUCCAAAUUCCUUAUUCAUCUUUUAUUUAGGCACAAUAACAUCCCAAUCCUUUGGGGAAAUGGUCAUUCAAGUUUCUCUACAUAAAUGUACACAAUGAUGCCUCAGAUUAGCUAAUUUCAGAGAGGCUUAUCACCAGGUUGACCACAGGUUGAUCAAAGGCAAUCGGCUAAAUUUUUUUUUUUUAAUUGUUUUUUGAUAAUGACUCGGCACUUAUUUGAUAGAGCAUUUCAUAUGUUAUGCCAUUUAAGUUUCAUAGCCUUGCAGUGUAGUUAGUCAGUAAACUUUUAUUAAGUAGCUACUGUGUGCUAAGUUAGUUAAAUUCUGGAGAUUUAAAAAAAAAAAAAAGGCAAAAGGCAACACUGAUCCCCAGGGAGCUUACAGUUUAAUAGGGGAGAUGACAAGCAAACAAAUAUGGACAAAGAAAUCCUACAGGAUAAAUGGAAAAUAAUUAAGUGAAGGAAGAUACUAGACUUAAGAGGGCUAAGGCUUCGUAUAGUAUAUUGGAUUCUAGUUGGUACUGGAAAGAAGGCAAUGGGAGAUGAGUAGGGGAUGAGCAAUGAUGAUGUUGAUGUUGAUGUGAUGCUUAGAAUUGGUGUAAUCUGACUGUUGGUUCUCUUCCUGUUCUAGGUGUCCCACUUUUUGAGUACUGCUAUUAUGAUCAUAUUUAUGAUAGAAAUUAUAUUAAAAUUAUAUACCUUCCACGAGGAACUCUUCCACUACAAGUUUGAGGUCCUGGAUGUUGUUGUUGUUAUUAUUUGUUUUUCUGUGAACGUCCUUAUUAUGUUCAAAGGACAUUCCUAUGAAGCCCUUCAAUUAUUGAUCAUUCUCCGACUUUGGCGAGUGGUUAAGAUUAUGAAUGGCAGAAUUAUUUCAUCCACGUCACGUUCUGAACAAAAACUCUUAAAGCUGAAAUUAAUAAAUUAUCAACUGACUAUGAGAAUUGAGCAACUUGAAUUGAACUGCAGUGAAAAGGUAAGAUGAAUGAGAGCCUCAAGAAAAAAUAUCAGGGCUUCUUAAAAAUUUUCCACUCAAGACCCCUUUUUGCUGGAGAAAUUUUUACAUGAUUCCAGAUAUGCAGGCAUAUAAAAUACACAUUCAAAUCAAACAUUUACUGAUAACAAAUCAUAAAUUUAUUUUAAAAAAUUUAUUGGUAUACAUGUAAUUUUACCAUUUAUUAAAGAUGAAAGAAAAUUUGCAUACUAAUGAGAUGGAUUUUUUUUUAUUUUUAUGAAAACAAAUGUCAGAAUAAUUGAUACCAUUAAGUAUUGCCAAAUUUUUUGCGAUCCCCACAUUUAUGACCUCAUAUAGGGUUGUGACCCUUCAAAAAGCUUUGAGACAGAUGAUUGAGGACUUCAACAAUAACUACAUUAUGUAGGUUAGAGAUACUCAGAAUGUUAAAUUGAUCUUUAUUUUUUGAAACAGGAGCAAGAAAUUUUAAGACUUAAAAAUCUCUUGAGAGAUCAUGGAUUUCCUGAGUAGCUGAACCAUGCAAUAUUUGCCUAAUCACAUGGAGAGGAAACUUCUUAUUCGACAGAAUGGCCUCUUGUACGUGUCAGUGAAAUAUCCUAGUUAUCUCCAGGAUCAUUUCUGGAAUGCCUUCAUUUAACUUGUUCUCAGGUCUGAUUAUGUCCAGAUGUUACAAACUAAGAACUGCCUUUUUAUCUUGGUGUGAUAAGAGACUUCCCUUGUAACAAAUGUUUCAUAAGGUAUUUUUUCUCAUUUCCCCAACUUUAACCUUGCUUGAAAUUGAUUGCUAUAACUGGAUGGGUUUAUAUAAAAUUUAGUUUUGUCAAAUGUAUGCUUUCAAAAUUAUUUCAUAUAUUUCAGCCCUGAAUUCCCUAGUUAUGGACGUUCAGAAAGACAAAAGCAAUAAACAAAUUGAGCAGAUCAGAAAGACAAAA